GUACUAGUAUUGUAAUGCACCGUCGAAGUCCUGGAUUGCUCUGGUGAUGGCGGCGGUACGCGGUCGGUGGCAAUUACCAGUAAGAGAUAAUCUGUGUGUAGGUAUUGGCUGGGGGCUCCGCUAUGAGCUAACUAGUCCAAGGGCACUCAGAGUCAAACGGCCAGUGACAUCUUCGCAAAACGCCCUGCCGAGAAACAAGUGUUGGACAACGUCGACAUCAUGAGAGUUGACAAAGACAUGAGGAAGCCAUCACACCGCACACACCCACCUCAGCUGAAAUAGGACACAUACAGAGUAUCCGAGUUAUUCAGACAGAAGUUUAUCAUUCUUGUCUGGAGGUCUCGAAAUGGUCACGCAAGUUCUCAUCUGCAAGCCCUCCCAGUUCCUCCGUCAGCUAGCCCAACUAGGUUGCAGUCCACCAUGGGUCUGCGCCGACCAACCGCCAGUUUGCACCAGGUUCGGCAAGGGUUGCCUCGCAUUCCGGGGCGCCCAACUGUGGAACACCUUACCCAGCGAUAUAUGUGCCAUCUCCACGCUCCGCCAGUUCCGCGCCAGCAUGAUCCUGCACACCCGCGGAUAAUGCUAACAUAAUAACUAGCAUAAUGACCCAUGUGGGGAAGACUGGCACUGCCCUAGCAUAACAGGGGCGUCGGAACCGGUGCGGCCAAAGCCGCACCAAUAAUUUUCGAAGUUUUUUUAAAUUUUUUUUAGACCAGAACCAGCCUCUUGUACGGGCAGAAUUAACACAAUGAUACAUUUCAAUUUUCUAAGUCGAAAUUCUAAAAAUCUUUUCUACGCUUUUUGCAGACCUGAAAAGGCGUGGGGUAUCUCAUGCAUGCAUAAACAAUGUACGGUACGCUGUACUGUGUGAACCUUUGUACCAGAGCAUGGACGGAGGUGGCAAAUAAUGUACAGUGCCAGUAAAAAAAAAAAAAAAGUAAAUUAUCGUAUCCGUUCCCGAAGGGAACUCACGUGCCAGUGGCGGCAGUUUAUUGUUUACAGACUCGACGAGAUGGAUGGUUACCCCGAAAUAGGAGAUGCUCCUUUCCAACCCAGGUCGCAGGACUACCCAAAGCGAGCCUUCGGGGUUAGCCAAGUAGUGUUUCGUAGAAACCUUGUUGAUGGCUUGUCGACUCUUGUACAGGUACCAUGUUUUACAUCGACAAUGCGGUGUAUCAUCAGCAUGCACAUUCGUAUUUCUCAUAUUAUUCUGUAGCAUUAAAAUAAUAUUACCUUUUAGGCCCAAUUUUCAAAAAUAUUUCCCGGGGGACAACCCCCGCACCCCCUCUCACACUUUGGCCGCACCAAUGUUAAGGCGAUGA